GCUGUAGCUCAGGGGCAGAGCAUCUUGCUUUCGCACGCACAAGCCCCCAGGAUCAAUCCCUGGCAUCUCCA